rnacentral:misc_RNA from 1 species
AUAUCUCUGACCAUUGACCCACAGGAUUUGUUUCAACACUCUUACCUGAUAUUCACCUUUAUCUUUCUCAAACACUGCCUGGGUUAUCUGAGAAUUCAUGGGAUCAGGUACCGGAGUACCAUCCGGGCCAGUUUGGCCAUCAGUGGAAGCCUCAGCUUUUACAACUAAUGGAUAGACAUCUGUGUCAUUCACUUUCAGAAACUCUGACUCUUCAAGCUUUGAGAAAUCAAUUCCUGUUCCAGAAGGUUGUCUGAACUUCUGUCCAAGCCCUUGUUCGAAAUGGACGGUUACUGGUUGAAAAAUGUCUUCUUUUACAGGGUUCAAGUUGCAAUCCUCACCUUCUUUCGCAAAGAAGAAGACAGUGAUACUCCCAGCAACGGUGGCAUCAAACGUGAAUGAUACAAGGAAUUGGCCAGGGUUUUCUUCAUCAGGCUCGACCUUAAGAGUUUCCUUCUUGAGAUUGACAUCAUUUCGUAUGGUAACCGCCUUCUGAUGCUCAACAUAGGGAGUUUGGGGCGGCAUAGGAGGGCCAUAAGGGUAUCUCCCACCGACCCAAUGCGCGGGAUCCAUCUGGGGAUGACCUCCGCGGUGGUGGUGAUCGUAAGGGGCCGGCAAAGGCAUCGGCAUCGACGGCGGCGGACCGGG